rnacentral:lncRNA from 1 species
CCUUCCUCCCUCCAUAUUCCUCCCUCUGUCAUCUCUCUUCCUCCCUCCAUCUUCUCUCUUACUCCCAUUCAAACCUCCAGCAACAUCUUACCACCUUUCCCUCUAUCUCUCUUUCCCUCGUCAUCUCCCUCUGUGCCUCGUCAUCUCCCUCUGUCCCUCGUCAUCUCUAUCUUUCCCUCGUCAUCUCCCUCUGUCCCUCGUCAUCUCCCUCUGUCCCUCGUCUUCUCUCUCUGUCCCUCGUCAUCUCUCUCUUUCCCUCGUCAUCUCCCUCUGUCCCUCGUCAUCUCUCUCUGUCCCUCGUCAUCUCCCUCUGUCCCUCGUCAUCUCUCUCUGUCCCUCGUCAUCUCCCUCUGUCCCUCGUCAUCUCUCUCUGUCCCUCGUCAUCUCCCUCUGUCCCUCGUCAUCUCCCUCUGUCCCUCGUCAUCUCCCUCUGUCCCUCGUCAUCUCUCUCUGCAUCCUUCUGUCUCCUUCCAUCCCUCUCCCCCUCACACCUCAAGGGACAUAUUUAUCAAAUUUAUCUCUCAACAUGCUUCCUUAACCUUACUGUAAUCCCCCUCUCUUUAUAUCUCUCCAUCUCUCCCUCAUCCCUCCAUCUCAUCCUCCAUCCUUCCAUCUCUUCCUCCAUCCAUCUCUCACAACCAGCCCCAUAAUAUAGAGAUGAGUACUGCCUUAUCACAACCAGCCCCAUAAUAUAGAGGUGAGUACUGCCUUAUCACAACCAGCUCCAUAAUGCAGAGGUGAGUACUGCCUUAUCACAACCAGCCCCAUAAUAUAGAGAUGAGUACUGCCUUAUCACAACCAGUCCCAUAAUGCAGAGAUGAGUACUGCCUUAUCACAACCAGCCCCAUAAUAUAGAGAUGAGUACUGCCUUAUCACAACCAGUCCCAUAAUGCAGAGAUGAGUACUGCCUUAUCACAACCAGCCCCAUAAUGCAGAGGUGAGUACUGCCUUAUCACAACCAGCCCCAUAAUAUAGAGAGGAGUACUGCCUUAUGACAACCAGCCCCAUAAUGCAGAGAUGAGUACUGCCUUAUCACAACCAGCCCCAUAAUAUAGAGAGGAGUACUGCCUUAUGACAACCAGUCCCAUAAUGUAGAGAUGAGUACUGCCUUAUCACAACCAGCCCCAUAAUGUAGAGAUGAGUUCUGCCUUAUCACAACCAGCCCCAUAAUGUAGAGAGGAGUACUGCCUUAUGACAACCAGCCCCAUAAUAUAGAGAGGAGUACUGCCUUAUGACAACCAGCCCCAUAAUGUAGAGAGGAGUACUGCCUUAUGACAACCAGCCCCAUAAUAUAGAGAGGAGUACUGCCUUAUGACAACCAGCCCCAUAAUAUAGAGAUGAGUACUGCCUUAUCACUGACAAUGGGAAAUGAAAGGUAAAUAUUUGUAAAGAAAAUGAAAAAUAAGUAACUUUGUUAGACAAUAGUAGGUGUAUAAAUGAUUUAUUAUAUAUUUAAUAUAUGUACUUAGAGAUCCAGUUGUUUCUUUAUAAUGGUCAGUAUAUUGUGUAAACAAUUAUUAUGAGACUUAUGAAACCAUUCAAAAUGCAUGCAAGUCUGAGAUGUCUCUGACUCCUCACAGUAGAGGUUGGCAGCCAUUUAUACAAGGAAUUGAUUUUUAAUUCCAUUUCAAGCGGACCUUCCCAAGUCUGAGCGUGGCUCUACCUGACUGAUCUGUUAGAUGAACUGAUGAAUAAUAUUCACAACUCUAAAUGUAAUUUGUGUCUAGAUUCAACAGGGAUGUUGGCCCAUGUUGACUCCAAUGCUUCCCACAGUGGUGUCAAGUGUCAAGGCUGGAUGUCCUUUGGGUGGUGGACCAUUCUUCAUACACACGGGAAACUGUUGAAUGUGGGAAAACCCAGCAGCGUUGCAGUUCUUGACACACUCAAACCGGUGCGCCUGGCACCUAUUACCAUAACUCGGUGGUAUGGUAUCAAUCGACUCUCUUCAUUAAAAUAUUGACUUUAAAACUAUGCCUCUGAUGUGUUUCUUCAUCACCAACAGGAAAUACUAGUUUAAGUAUAGUGACAGUUUGUUUCCCAACAGGAAAGACUAGUUUAAGUAUAGUGACAGUUUGUUACCCAACAGGAAAGACUAGUUUAAGUAUAGUGACAGUUUGUUUCCCAACAGGAAAGACUAGUUUAAGUAUAGUGACAGUUUGUUUCCCAACAGGAAAGACUAGUUUAAGUAUAGUGACAGUUUGUUACCCAACAGGAUUUAUUUCUCCAUGUGCUCCUGUGUCAAAAGGCCAUUUCAGUCAUCCCAACGACAGUUACACAUUUUGGAUGUGUUGAGUGAUUACUGCAUAUUAACUUAAUUAAACAGUCUUUAUAUGGAUCGUCCCAAAGCAGAUCUACAGAGGGAAACUAAG